ensembl:lncRNA
ACACACACUGGACAAACACAAAUACACACACACUGGAAAAUACACACACACUGGACAAAUACACACACACUGGACAAAUACACACACACUGGACACACACACACACUGGACACACACACACUCUGGACACACACACACACUGGACACACACACACACUGGACAAACACACACACUGGACACACACAUUGGACACACACCCACACACACACACUGGACCGACACACACACACUGAAUACACACACACUGAACAGACACACACACACUGGACACACUCACACAAACACACACUGGACACGGACAGAAACACACACAAACACACCUCACAUACACACACUGAUUACACACUGAAUACACACACAUUGGACACACACACACACACACACUGGACACACACACACACACUGGAAACAAACACAUACAUUGGACACACACACACACACACACAUUUGACACACUCACACACACACACACACACUGGACGGACACACACACACACACACACACACACACGCACUGGACACUCAGAAACACGCUGGACAAACAAACACACACACACACUGGACACACACACUCAAACACUGAACACACACACACACUGAAACACACACUGGACACAAACACACACACACACACACGCUCAACACAGACACACAAACUCCACACACACACACACUGGACACACACACACACACACUGACACACUAGACACACACACACAAACACACUAGAUAAAUACACUGGACACGCACACACUGGACACGCACACACACACUGGACACAUGCACACACACACUGAACACACACAAAACUGUACACACACACACGCACACACUGGAUACAGACAGGACACACUGGACACACACUGGACACACACACACACUGGACAAACACACACACUGGACACACACACAGACAAAUACACACACACACUGGACACACACACACACUGGACACAACACACACUGGACAAACACACACUGGACAAACACACACACACACUGGACAAACACACACACACACUAGACAAACACACACACAAACACAGUGGACACACACACUGGACACACACACACACACACUGGACACACACACACACUGGACACACACACACACUGGACACACACACACACUGGACACACACACACACACACUGGACACACACACACACACUCUCUCACACACACACACACACACACACUGGACACACACACACACACUGGACAAAUACACACACACUGGACACACACACUGGACACACACACACACACACACACACACACUGGACACACACACACACUGGACACACACACACACUGGACACACACACACACUGGACACACUGGACACACACACACUGGGACAAAUACACACACACUGGACAAAUACACACACACUGGACACACACACACUGGACACACACACACACACUGGACACACACACACACUGGACAAACACACACACUGGACACACACACACACACACACACACACACACACACACACUGGACACACACACACACACACUGGACACACACACACACACACACUCUGACACACACACACACACACUGGACACACACACACACUGGACAAAUACACACACUUUGGACACACACACACACUCUGGACACACACACACACUGGACACACACACACACUGGACACACACAUACACUGGACACACACACACACACACUGGACACACACACACACUGGACAAAUACACACACACUGGACACACACACACUGGACAAAUACACACACACUGGACAAAUACACACACACUGGACACACACACACUGGACACACACACACACACACACACACACACUGGACACACACACACACUGGACAAACACACACACUGGACACACACAUUGGACACACACCCACACACACACACUGGACACACACACACACUGAAUACACACACACUGAACAGACACACACACACUGGACACACUCACACAAACACACACUGGACACGGACAGAAACACACACAAACACACACUCACAUACACACACUGAUUACACACUGAAUACACACACAUGGACACACACACACACACACACACUGGACACACACACACACACUGGAAACAAACACAUACAUUGGACACAUACACACACACACAUUUGACACACACACACACACACACACACACACACACACACACACACACACACACACACACACACACUGGACACUCACACGCUGGACAAACAAACACACACACACACUGGACACACACACUCAAACACUGAACACACACACACACUGAAACACACACUGGACACAAACACACACACACACACACGCUCAACACAGACACACAAACUCCACACACACACACACUGGACACACACACACACACACUAGACACACUAGACACACACACACAAACACACUAGAUAAAUACACUGGACACGCACACACUGGACACGCACACACACACUGGACACGUGCACACACACACUGAACACACACAAAACUGUACACACACACACGCACACACUGGAUACAGACAGGACACACGGACACACACUGGACACACACACACACUCACACACACACACUGGACAAACACACACACUGGACACACACACACUGGACAAACACACACUAGACAAAUACACACACAAACUGGACUCACAGACACACACUGGACAAAUACACCCACACACUGGACAAAUACACCCACACACUGGACAAACACACACUAGACAAAUACACACACACACUAGACAAACACACACACACACACACACACACUGGACACACAGACACACACACACACACACACACACUGGACACAUACACACACACACACACACACACACACACACACUGGACACCCACACACACACACUGGACACACACACACACACUGGACACACACACACACACUGGACAAAUACACACACACUGGACAAAUACACACACUCUGGACACACACACACACUCUGGACACACACACACACUGGACACACACACACACACUGGACACACACACACACUGGACAAAUACACACACACUGGACAAAUACACACACACUGGACAAACACACACACACACUGGACACACACACACUCUGGACACACACACACACUGGACACACACACACACUGGACACACACACACACUGGACAAACACACACACUGGACACACACACACACUGAACACACACACACUGAACACACACACACACACUGGACACAC